rnacentral:rRNA from 1 species
UACGUAGGGUGCAAGCGUUAAUCGGAAUUACUGGGCGUAAAGCGUGCGCAGGCGGUUGUGCAAGACAGAUGUGAAAUCCCCGGGCUCAACCUGGGAACUGCAUUUGUGACUGCAUCGCUGGAGUGCGGCAGAGGGGGAUGGAAUUCCGCGUGUAGCAGUGAAAUGCGUAGAGAAUGUGGAGGAACACCGAUGGCGAAGGCAGCCUUCUGGGCCAACACUGACGCUCAUGCACGAAAGCGUGGGGAGCAAACAGG